AUUGAACGCUGGCGGCAGGCCUAACACAUGCAAGUCGAACGGUAGCACAGAGAGCUUGCUCUCGGGUGACGAGUGGCGGACGGGUGAGUAAUGUCUGGGAAACUGCCCGAUGGAGGGGGAUAACUACUGGAAACGGUAGCUAAUACCGCAUAACGUCGCAAGACCAAAGUGGGGGACCUUCGGGCCUCACACCAUCGGAUGUGCCCAGAUGGGAUUAGCUAGUAGGUGGGGUAAUGGCUCACCUAGGCGACGAUCCCUAGCUGGUCUGAGAGGAUGACCAGCCAAACUGGAACUGAGACACGGUCCAGACUCCUACGGGGGGCAGCAGUGGGGAAUAUUGCACAAUGGGCGCAAGCCUGAUGCAGCCAUGCCGCGUGUAUGAAGAAGGCCUUCGGGUUGUAAAGUACUUUCAGCGGGGAGGAAGGCGGUGAAGUUAAUAGCUUCACCGAUUGACGUUACCCGCAGAAGAAGCACCGGCUAACUCCGUGCCAGCAGCCGCCGUAACAC
rnacentral:rRNA from 1 species